GCCGGGUGUGGUGGUGCGCGCCUGUAAUCCUAGCUACUCAGGAGGCUGAGGCAGGAGAAUUGCUUGAACCCAGGAGGCGGAGGUUGCAAUGAGCUGAGAUCAUGCCAUUGCACUCCAGCCUGGGUGACAGUGCAAGACUCUGUCUCAA
rnacentral:SRP_RNA from 2 species